rnacentral:lncRNA from 1 species
CCCGAGCGAGAAGCGAUCGUUGCCCCUUUGCUGUCGCCGACGGCGAGGUAGCCCGCUACCUCCGCCUCUGCCGCCCCAUGGAGAAGAGGAGCCCUCCCUUCCUCUGCUCCGUGGGACGGCAGAGGCGUAGGCAGUAGGCUGCCUUGCUGUCGGCGACUCCCUUCCUCUGCUCCACGGGGCAACAGAGGCGUAGGUAGUGAGAUGUCUUGUUGUCGGCGACGGCAAAGGGGCAACAGUCGCCUCUCACUCAGGCGAAGGUGAGGGGCGCAAUGGGGAAGAGUGGACCUCAGCGACGGAUAGGGGAGCAGGAGCGGAGGCGUCGGCGACGGGAAGGGAAAGGUAUGUUUUGGAAUUACAGAAAAAAUGGGUAUUAUUAGGAAAAACGAAAAC